rnacentral:lncRNA from 1 species
UUUUUCCUUUUUUCAAAUUACAAUCCGGCGCAUGUGUAUCGUUCGGAUCGGUUUGGAUCGGAUCGAAUUCAAUAAAAUUAUUGGGCGCGUCUCUAUUCGAGCGUUAACAAAUAUUAUUGUUCAUUUUGCUGUUAUUGUGAUUAUAAAUUUUCAAUGUGUAAACAGCAGAGGAAGCAGCGACAAACGGCAGCGGCAGCGGCAGCCAACGAUUCGAAGGUGCAGCCUGUAAAUUAUUGUGCAGGUGAGUCUUAAAUGGUUUUAUUUUGAUUUUAAUAACGGAAAUACUAAAUUAAAUAUAGAAAUUCCCCAACAAGCUGAUUGAUUUACACUGCUGCAAUUGUUCAGCCCCAAUCCCCUUCCACCUAUCGAUUGACUGAGCAACGAGAAUGGAUAGUGGCUCGACCCUCGACCGGAACACACCCAGCUAGACGCAGAUUGUGGCAUACACAAAUGAAUAGCUAUAGCCUUUUUUAUUUACAGAUAAAUAAAUAUAUAAAAUGGGCAAAUGCUGCUUUACAUAUCAAUGGAACGAUCGCUUUGGGCAGUAGAUAAUAGGCCUCAAUCGUGUUCCAGCUGAAUGGCUAAAUGUUUGAUGUCAAAAUGACAAAUUGUGAAUCGAUUAGAUGCAUAUUUGUAUGUACACCCACAGAGGAACGUGUCUUAACCCAAAUGCCAUGCAAAAAAGUGAC